ACAACAUUCGGACCGUCGGUCUAUCGAGCAAUUUCAGACGCUCGGUGAAAGAUCUUCCCUUUGUCAU
rnacentral:pre_miRNA from 1 species